rnacentral:lncRNA from 1 species
UUUUUUGUUUGUUUGUUUUUUGUUUUUUUCUCUCCUUUCUGUCCCAUAUGGUUUAGAGAACAUGUACUGAGAAUGACUCUACAUGGCUAUCACUAAUUGCUUAAUAGCCUCCCCCCCAUUGAACAGGUAUAUCAUAAUUUUUAUGAACUUCUAUACAAUCUAUUGAUAGACUUUUAGGAAGUUUGUUGUGCUUUGCUAUUAUAAAUAGUUCCGAAAAAAAAAAAUCCAACACUAGGGCUAUUGUCAUAUAAUUUGUUUUCUAAACUAAGAAAUUUGAAAAUAAAAGAAGAUGCUAAGACAACAUGGCUAUCUUGUUGAACCUGGCUGUCCUGGGAAAAUUGGACACUCUAACCUUGCGCAACACAUAAAUUCCUAACAAUAGAAUUAAAGUAUUGAAUGACACAUGCCUAUGCAUUUUGCAACUUACUGCCAACUUCCCCACCAGUAAGUUUCGCCAAUUUACAGUUGCAGAAAUGGUUUGCAAAGGUGUCUUUAACCCACAUACUCACCAAUGUUGAAUAUCAUACAAACUUUAGAAAACUUUAAUAAAUAUGAUAAAAAGAAUUUUAUUAUCUAAAAGAACGUGUAUUUCAUUGUGAGUCAGGUUGCUGAUAGGUUAUUUGCCAUUUACACUUCCCUUGUUCUGAAUUGCUUUAUAUUUUUUAGUAUUCUUCUUAUGUUUUUCUGUUUCUUUAUGGAUUUGUAGGUGCUUUUUGUGUAAGAAGGAAAUUGGUAUGCUAUGUUAUUAUAUAUUGCUAAAUCUUCCAGUUUGUCAUUUGUUUUUUUCUGUUGUUGUAACUUAGGGAUUGUGAGAGAGUGUGUUCCAAGAGGCAGGAAGUGAAAGCCUGUGGUCUCUUAAGGCCCAGGUAGGCCCAGAACCAGUAUAGCAUCUUCCCAGCACCAGUGGGAAGGGAAACAGGCAGGGCCCAGCCCUUGAUGGGGAGCCUGUUAAGAAUUUGUGGCCAUUUUUAAUCUGUCAUGAGGAUUCAAACCUUUUCCUGUUAAAUACAUUGCAGGUAUCUUUUCCUGAAUUUUUUUUUUUUUUUUUGUCUUUCUAUGUUGUGGGUUUAUUUAUUUAUUUAUUUUUUGUCACACAGAUAUGUUAAAUUUUUAUGUAAUAAAAUAUUUUGGUUUUUGUCAUUAUGGCUUCUGGAUUUUAUAUCAUGUUGAGAAAGGCCUUCUCCAUCCAAAAUUAUUUUUUAAAAACUCCCCUAUACAUCUUUCUUGGUAUUCGGUUUUAUUUUAGUGUGCGUGUGUUCGAUAUAUAUGUAACUUACAUAUGAAGUCAGAACCUAUAAAAUAUUUUCCAAAAUAAGAAAAUGAAUAUCAAACUUUUAGCUCUAAUUAUAUUAUUGCUCCAUGAACAGAAUUGUUUUAUGCUUCCAUAUUAUGCUAAUAAAAUAGCAUUUUACAUGUACCUCAACAUAAUUUUGAGGACCAGCCCAAUAUAAAUGAGUUCUUCCCGUAGAUGUUUAAAGUCUGUAUUCUGCUAAACUGUUGAAAACUGUUUUAAGAGCAUUUCUACUGGGUCUAACUGAAUUAUGCUUCCAGUUUUUCUUCAUUACUGAACUCCAUGCACUGUUUAGGAGUAUUACCUUCAUACCUCAUGGUAUCUUGAAAGGAAUUCUUUGGAUGUGAUCUGUUCUUUUCUCUUUCCAGACUUUUGGCUGAUUGCUUGGAUCAUCCAUCCUAAGAAGAAAGCAAUUACAGAUACCACUAUAAAAGAUAUUCCAACUUGGGUUUUAGGAUUAGCCCUGGAGACAAACGCUUAAAAAAUUAUUUAUUUAUUUGAGAAUGAGAGAGAGAAAGAGCGCUCUUGCAUGUGUGCAGGAGCAUGACUGUGGGGAGGGCCAGAGGGAGAGGAAGAAGCAGACUCCUCACUGAGCAGGGAGCCCCAAGGCAAGGAGGGACUUAAUCCCAGGACACUGGGAUCAGGACCUGAGCCAGAGGCAGACACUCAACUGACUGAGCCACCCAGGCUCCACGACAAACACUUUUACUAACGAAACAUUUCAUUUUAGGAAAGAAGUUCUUUUUGCACUUCCAACUAAGGAUAUGUAAACAGAAGGGUCGUACAAAAUGACUAUAGAUCCAAACUGAAAUUAAUUUCAAAAUGAGCAUUUUUGUCCUUUGUUUUGAUCCACAACUGCAUCUACUAGUGAACUCUGGAGCAAACACAACACACACCCACAACACAGACAUACACAGCUAUGCACAUGCACACUUUGUAUAUAUUUUGCAUAAUUUUCUCCCUUGAAAUAAAGAAGCAAAAUAAAACUUUUCUACAAAAUUUUCUUCAAAAAAAUCUCUCUAAAGAAAAGAAUUGUCCAUAAUUUAUGAAUUAAGGGUGGAAUCAUUUUCGAGUGGUGUGUGUAUGUGUGUGUGUGUGUGUGUGUGUGUGGAGCAAUCCAGGUAGGCAAAGAGUUGUGGUUCUUAAAUCUCUGGCUCAGAAGACAAAGCAAAGAGCUUUUGAGGCUUCUUUUCCUGGGAUAUUUUGCAGUUGAUGAAAAUAGAAUUCUCAGCCAGGAGGACUCCCUUAGAAGGUUAAGAUGGUGCUGAUAGUUAAAAUGUUACUAACAAUGGCAAUAUAAAUGACAAAAAUGUCCUCAUUGGGCCCAACUCAGUCACUUACAACACAAAGAGAGUGAACUCAAUACAUUAUUUUUAACUUCAAUUCUUGCUCCAUUGUUUUCAGUUUUUCUUUUUCCACCAAAAAAAAAAAAAAAAAAAAA